AAUUUAAAAAAAAAAAAAAAAGGUAAUGCAAGUUGUUUCUUGUGCAUGGAAUGGAACUCGAAGCUUCUGAAUUGCUUUAAUCUUGUAGCAUCAUUUAUUUUUAAACUAUGAAAUUGGUUUUGCUUUAUACAAUUACAUAUCUUAAAUUAAUUAAUGGGUUAUCAUAGUUCUUACAAUCAACCUUAUUGCAUAUAACCAGACUUCCAGUGCGCUGGGACAAGAC
rnacentral:misc_RNA from 1 species